rnacentral:rRNA from 1 species
AAAACUUUCAACAACGGAUCUCUUGGUUCUGGCAUCGAUGAAGAACGCAGCGAAAUGCGAUAAGUAAUGUGAAUUGCAGAAUUCCGUGAAUCAUCGAAUUUUUGAACGCACAUUGCGCCCUUUGGUAUUCCGAAGGGCAUGCCUGUUCGAGCGUCAUU